rnacentral:rRNA from 1 species
CUGAUCUAGCCAUGCCGCGUGAGUGAUGAAGGCCUUAGGGUCGUAAAGCUCUUUCGCUGGGGAAGAUAAUGACGGUACCCAGUGAAGAAACCCCGGAUAACUCCGUGCCAGCAGCCGCGGUAAU